rnacentral:rRNA from 1 species
GGUUACCACCAUAAAGCUCCAGAUUGAACUUUGGCGGGGAUGCUUUACGCAUGCAAGUCGAACGGCAGCACGGACUUCGGUCCUGGUGGCGAGUGGCGAACGGGUGAGUAAUGUGUCGGAACGUGCCUAGUAGCGGGGGAUAACUACGCGAAAGCGUAGCUAAUACCGCAUACGCCCUUCGGGGAAAACGGGGGACGCUGGAAGCCUCGCACUGUUGGAAGCGGCCGAUAUCGGAUUAGCUGGUUGGUGGGGUAACGGCUCGCAAGGCGAUCCGUGGCUGGUUUGAGAGGACGACCAACCACACUGGGACUGAGACACGGCAGACUCCUACGGGAGGCAGCAGUGGGGUGUUUGGACGAUGGAAACCUGAUCCAGCCAUCCCGGCAUUGUGCGAUGAAGGCCUUCAGGUUGUAAACACUUUUAGCAGGAAAGAAACGGCACGGGAUAUCACAGUGCAAUGACGGUACCUGCAGAAUAAGCACCAUUUAGCUACGUGCAGCGGCGCCCGGUAAUACGUAAGUGCAAGCGUUAAUCAGAAUUACUGGGCAUAAAGCGUGCGCAGGCGGUUCGGAAAAAGAAAGAUGUGAAAUCCCAGAGCUUAACCUGGAACUGCAUUUUUAGCUACCGAGCUAGAGAGUGUGUCAGAGGGAGGUGCAAAUUCCGCGUGUGAUGGAAAUUGCGUAGAUAUGCGGAGGAACACCGAUGGCGAAGAGCGGCCUCCUGGGAUAACACUGACGCUCAUACGCAAGCGUGGGGCAAGCAGGAUUAGAUACCCUGAAGUGAAGAUCCACUUUCAACGAUGUCCAACUAGCUGUUUGGGGCCUUCCGGGCCUUGGUAGCGCAGCUAACGCGUGAAGUUGACCGCCUGGGAGAUACGGUCGCAAGAUUAAAACUCGAAAGGAAUUGACGGGGACCACACCUGAAGCGGUGGAUGAUAUUGGAUUAAUUCGAUGCAGCGCGAAAAACCUUACCUACCUUGACAUGUCUGGAAUCCCGAAGAGAUUUGGGAGUGCUCGCAAGAGGGCGGAACACAGGUGCCAUGGCUGUCGCUCAGCUCGUGUCGUGAGAUGUUGGGUUAAGUCCGCAACAAAGCGCAACCCAUGUCAUUAGUUGCUACGAAAGGACACUCUAUUAAUGAGACUGCCGGUGACAAACCGGAGGAAGGUGGGGAUGACGUCAAGUCCUCAUGGCCCUUGUAGGUGGGGCUUCACACGUCAUACAAUGGUCGGGACUGGAGGGUCGCCGCCCGCGAAGAGGCCAAUCCCGAAACCCGAUCGUAGUCGGAUCGCAGUCUGCAACUCGACUGCGUGGGAGUCGGAAUCGCUGGUAAUCGCGGAUCAGCAUGUCGCGGUGAAUACGUUCCCGGGUCUUGUACACCGCCUGUCACCAUAAUAGGAGUCAGGUUUUACCCAGAAGUAGUUAGCCCUAGCAAGGAGGAGCGGUGCAGUAGGAUUCGCGGCUGGGGGUGAAAAGUCGUAACAAGGUAA